ACCCGGCUGACGAGUCCUAAAUAAGAUGAAAUUCGUGUCCUGGGU
rfam:Schistosoma haematobium scaffold105_25, whole genome shotgun sequence.